UGAGCGAGCGAGUGAGGAUCGCCGGCGGCGCUUCGGUGUCCGCUGGAGGAAAGUCCGAGCUCCGCAGGGCAGGGUGCCGGGUAACGCCCGGGCGUCGUGAGGCGACGGAAAGUGCCACAGAAAGCAUACCGCCGAUGGCCGCGGUUCGCCGCGUGCACAGGUAAGGGUGAAAGGGUGCGGUAAGAGCGCACCGGGCUCCUGGUAACAGGGGUCGCAUGGUAAACCCCACCCGGAGCAAGGCCAAAUAGGGGGCGAGGAACGGCCCGUUCCAUUCGAGUCCCGGGUAGGCUGCUCGAGGCUGCCGGCAACGGCAGUCCCAGAUGAAUGAUCCUCCCCCGUGAGGGGACAGAACUCGGCUUAUUCCGCGCGCUCACCAC
rnacentral:RNase_P_RNA from 1 species